GAGGGACUGCAGCCUCUACAAACUGCUUGAAGGUCAUUAUUCAAGAGAUAAAGAAAUCUCGCCUCCUUUAGUUCCAGAAUAACCUCAUGGGGCAGUUU